UCCCAAUUGCUUCCAAAUAUCACGACUGAACAUGUCUACUAAUCGCAACAGACUUUUAGUGUGGUUGUCAGUACCAGCAUACAGCUUGAUGUCAUCUAAGUUCAUCAAGUCUAUCAGUCUGAACUUAGCACGUAGGCCAUAAUUUAUUGCAAAACCAUACCAUCUAGCAUCAUUCAGUGGCCAUGAAAGCGAGUUCAGUCCCAUACAAAACCAAACGGGACUCAACUAAUCCCCCUGGGAGAUGCCCCUCUAUAGACGGCUAGGCUCUGAGGUAUUGGUAUCCUCAUAUAUACGCAUUGAUAAGGGGUUAUGCCACCCUUCCAUGACUGUCGCCAAAAACUUUAUCAGUUUCGGAUCAAUGCGAUGCAGAUGUAAGACAUCGGUUAGCUAGGUAUGCGGACCGCUGUCGAAAGUUUUGGCAUAAUCGAUAUAGCAACUAAAGAGGUUUCUUUGGCCUCUAGUUGUCUUGUCCUACAACUAUUGCGUGGAUAAUGAGUUGCUUUUUGCAACCCUUUGACCCAACUCUCCAGCCCUCCUGCUCCUCGGACAGAAUGUUGUUGGUCUCAAGGUGCACAUUGCCCCUCCACUAAUAAUGGACGUUAUGAAUUUGUAGAGGGUUGGUAAGCAAGUAAUCGGUCUUGUGUCUGCGGGGUCCUGCACCGUGUCCUUCUUAGGAAUAAGGUAGGUAAUUCACGCAGGGAGGAAGGGUCGAAAUUCCUCCGGCUGACUAAUGACCAGAUUUAUGAUAUGUACCAACCGACUGUGUAUACUGGUAAAUUUGUUAUACCAGAAAUUCUGCACCCGAUCCAGAACAGGACCCCUCCAGUUCUUCGAGCUGUUUAUGACUCGUCGAACUUUCUCUUCGGUAACAUCCGCAAAAUUCAUGCCGGGCGUAGUGGCAUGGUGGGUGUCUUCGGCGGUGAUCCACUCAGCAUGCUGGGCGGGUAACCCUCAAAGUCCACCCCAGUAUUCUUUCGUUUCCGUUACUGAAAACUGUGAUAUUUGGAAGCUCUGUUGGGAUUCGUUGAGAAAUCUGAAAAAGCUCUUCUGGUUCCUCGCGUAUGUUGCAUUCUGAACACGUCUGAAGUGACUUUCGCCGUACCGUCGUAACUGACUGCAUAUGAUAGAAAGUUUCUGCUGCGUGUUCAGAAUUUCAACUACGGGUGUCUCAAUGGGGAUGGCAUAGUUUCUGCAGUUUAUUUCUCACCCGUCUGAUGGCAUUGCCAGUGCUAAUCUAGCAAUCUAGCAAUGUCCUGCCUUAGUGAGUCCCACCAAAGUUUUUCAUUGAUUAUUGAUUUACAAAUGACCAUUUCUAUUUUUAUUUUGAUAAUUUUAUCCACAAAACCCUCUGAUCUUUUAAACUUUCAGAAGUUAUUAAAUUUAUUUAAAUAUUUUCAAUUACAAAAAAGAACCUUUGGAACAUUUAAAAAAUGACCAUUAACCUUUUUUUAUUAUUAUUUUCAUCAUAGACGUGAUUAUGCUAUGUAUUAUUAAAUUGAUUUCUAACACUUGUUUUUGGCUAAGGCGAAAUGUUAUGCAUGCAAAGGUGAAUGUUAAGAUAUUGCGGGGAUUUUUGUUGUUAAAUAGAGGCUGGUUCGAUGAAGGAUAGCUUGACACAAAACAUGGGAAAAUUUCUGUCUGAGCGGCUUCAUUGCCCGAGUCAAAGUUAGCGAAAUGCUGGGUAGCUGAUUAAUGAUGUUUCGAGGGCUGUUUUGUAUCAUUUUUGGUAGGAGUUCUUUCGCUUGGUGUAGAGAGUGCACUUGUAAUGUUAAAAGUGUUUCUUUGUUCUGAUUUGUUUUCUCGGAUAGACUUUUGGCUUUCUGUUCCGUUCAAGUGGAGAGUCAUUCUUUUGGUUCGAGGAAGGAGAGCCUGAGGAGUCUGGUGGGUUGGUUUUUGGUUGCAGGGAGUUUUGGAUGCAAUGCGAAGUGGUAACGAGGAGUUUCCAAUAUUGAAUGAGUAAUGAGUAAUGAGUAAUGAGUAAUGAGUAAUGAGUAAUGAGUAAUGAGUAAUGAGUAAUGAGUAAUGAGUAAUGAGUAAUGAGUAAUGAGUAAUGAGUAAUGAGUAAAUGAUGUUUGGUCUCCAGGAGUUUAGGGAUUCGUUUGUUCCAGAAAGAAAUACCAGAAAUGUAAGGGAAUAUUAUCCAUGUGAAAUCCGGGGAAAUAUAAUUGAGUGAGCUAUGAAAUUUAACGAUGUUACAGUUUAAAACUAUUCGAUUAGAAGUCAGGUUAUGUUCGAAUAUCCAGAUCACCCGUAAGAUUAUCCCUGUUAGAAUUGUUAUGAACUGGAUUGGAAGCAUUAAGGAAAAAUGAUGUUAGGCUUAUUCACUGUUCUAUAAACCGUACUUUCUGUGUUUGAAUUUUGAUCUUCGUUUUAUUAUAUUGAAUGUUGAUUACUUGACUAACGUAUACGUAAAUUCUGAAACCUACUCCGUAGUUUAUAUAUUUGGGAUGAUGAAAAUUGAAUAAUUGAGAUAACAACAUAUGCGUCCUUUACCACCAUACGAGCAUUUUCUCUCUGCAAGUGGCAUCAGGUUACAUUUCUCCAUUAGCGAGAAUACACGCAGAAAGAAAAUAAACCUGUCUAUGAAUAUGCUUCAUUUCAUCCCUUCAAUUCAAAGAAAGAUUUCCUGAAAUAGGUAAUAUGAAGGGGUCAGCCUUUGAUUUGAGGACUCCUUCUUCUCUUUCUUUCAACAUACACUGGUCAUAAGGUGAAUCUGCCAACAUCAUGACCUGAGAAUACCAAGGCUGGGUGUGAACCUUAGAGGCUGCGGACAUCUGAGGCAGGCGAAGAAGCAUCGGUUGAGGAUGUGAUCCGUCACGGAUCUUCCGUCUCGAUAAAGUCACUCAGUUCACAAGUUUUAGGGCUUCACGAGGUAGAGCGGUUUUUUUAUUUUAUGUUCCGCAAGGUUCGCGCGAUAUUCCUUUGCUUGUUUUGAUUAUUCGGUUCCGGGACCGGGAUGGACCCACACAUCAGUUUAAGGAGAAAGGAAGUUUUAUACAAUGACACCUGAGCACUCUCUUAAAGUUUUCAAAAGGAUCUGUCACAUUUCCGAGCUUGACUAACACUGAAGCUUGUAAUCGUGUAUCAAUGGAACACUGUUGAGGCUCAGUAUUGGUGAGUGGACUUUCACUGUCAAUUUUUUUAGGUUUCUUGGGAUAACUCUUCUCAAAUCACCCAGGAUGGUCCUCCGACUACCGAAUAACUUUUAGUUAUUACAAACGUGUACUCUAACCGAAAAUUAGAGCGAAAUAUCUGGAUUUGAACUAGAAAUCCGCCAGGGGAUACUGCUCAAUGGAUAGAUUGAAUAUCCAACCCUUGCCUUUUCAGCGUCUACAGAAACUGGAUUAGAAAUUGCAAUAUAUUGAAGAUCUUGAGCAAGAAGUGCUCGGUGAAAUGGAUUUUGGACCAGCAAGAUUUUAAUGUUGGGGGCGAAGCCGAUAAUAUGAGCAACAUUAAUCCUGGGUAUUAAAAUUUUUUUGUCGAUAACUGAUCCUCUGAAUUAUCAUUAGUUAAUCGGAUAUGGGGCCUUCUGUAAGGAUAUUUGAAAGAUGAUAGCUCAACAUACCGAUACCCCGGGUAUCGGAGUUGGUGGUGGCUUUUCGAAGACGGGGGGGAUUUGUUCAGCUGAACGUAUAUAUGUCAUCCUUCGAUUCUUAUAUUGCUUCUAUUUCACAAUCUUUUCUUCAAAUUACCCAUUUCGUUUCUUUUGUUGGGUAUAUUUUUUUUUAUCAAAACAAGUACGGUAUUUCGGGAAUCAGUUUUUCCUUGCUCAAAACUGGGUAUUUCGGGAAUCAGUUUUUCCUUGUUCAAAACUGGGGAAGGGAAAAACUAAUUCCCGAAACACGGCAUUUGAGGAAGGGAAAACUGAUUGCCUAAACAUGGCAUCUAACGAAGGGAAAACUUAUUCCCGAAAUACUGUAUUUGUUUUUAUAAAGGAAGCUUUCUUCUUUUCAGAUAAUAUUUUCUUAUCAUGUUGAAUUGAAACGUUUCAGUUUCCAGUAUCUAAAAUAAAAUAGCAAUGUUAAGCCUUUCUUCAAUUCUUUUGUCCUAUUUUGAGAGUUUAAGUCAAAUUAAAAUUCCCUCAAAUAUUCUAUGAAGUAUCCUUUUUCAUUCCUAUACAUUUCAGUUUUCUGUUCAUAUUUAUCUCUCAAUGAAUUGCAAAUUCAAUGAUAUAUAUUUAUUCAGAUUGAAAGCACGAUUACUGUUUCAAAAGUUUUCGUGGAUAAAAGUGGUUUGAAAUGCUGAUGGGCUGAAAAGGAUAAAAAAGUUAGAAUUAUGAAUUAUUUUUAAAAUUUCAUCAAAACAAAAUAUUAAAGGCACUCGUUCUAGGAAGUAUGAAGGGGGAUGUUAUUUUCAUCUAUUUUUUACAUAAAAUAAAAUGUGAUAUUCCAGAAAUAGAUAUUUAUCUAUUCAACAAAAGUAAAUAUUUGCGUGUUAAUUAGGGUUUGGGUAAAUUUCAAACUUUUGGCAAAUUACAUUCUGAAGGCACGUUAUAUUUCGACAACAAAAGGAUAAUUUUCGAAGGCAUUCAACAGACAAACUAAGCAGAUAAUAGCAUCCCUUAAAUAUUCAAGUUUAUAAUCGGAGGCAAAUAUUCGUCGUCAAGUAGCAUCCGUUGGAAGUGGGGAAAUCUUAUUAAAUCGAAUAAAAUUCCAAAAAUAGAUUCUGAUAGGGAGGCUCUAAUGAGGUUAUUCAUUAUUGAGAGAUUUUGAAAUAUCUGAGCAUUUUAUUACUGAAUAAUUCCUUAUUUAAUUGGAGGUCUGAUGAGGGAUGAAUUGUUAAUUUCAGGGCGGUUAUUGUUACGUGGGAUCACGCAGCAAAGGUAAUUAAAUCGUAGGAGAAGUGCUUUCUAAAUAGAAGGAAAUUCUUCACUUUUGAAAUGAGACUUAUUUUUAAGUUUAAAUAAGAGGGUAUUUGGGGUAACAUCUCAUUUGUUUCAUCAUGAGACUACCGAAGCUCUUUAUUUCUUGAGAGUAGACCAUAAUUCUUCUUAUUCUAAGAUCCUGACUUCAGUUUUAAUGAUGAAUUGUUGCUAGCAACCCCUCAAUGAAUUCUAGCCAAUUUCAGCAGGUUCCAUCUAAAGAAAGUUCUUUGGAUGAAAGUGGUAGGGUUCGAUGGUAUUUCUUGGGAAAUAGUUUGUGUAAACAUAUAGUGAAGGUUCUCCUCUUAUUUUUGCUAGUAAAUACAAAUAUUCAAAAUUAACAUUAGAUACCGUCGAAAUCUGAAGAAGCCUUCAAAGGCGCUAAUUGGAAACGUAUGAAGUCAAAUGCAAUAACCAACAAAUAGGAUAGGAGGCCUUUUAAAUUGGGGUUAUCUUUUCACUCAGGAUUGAGGAAUUGGUUCCAUCGAAUUUAAUAGGCAAUAAUAAAUAGAGUCAUUCAAAAUCCCCUCCGUUUGCGCUUACACACUUCUUUAAACGUUUGGGCCAUUCGUCUAUCUCCGCGUGUACUACUUUUAGUGGUAUUGUGGCUGCUAUCGCAGCAAAUCGGCUUUUAAUCCUUAAAUAUUCCGGUGACAUUUAGAGCAGGUCCUCUCUUCUAAUGUGUUCCACAACUGGUAGUUUAAAGUAUUGAGAUCAAGACUACCUGAAGGCCAAUCUUCAGAAACGACAAAGUUGGGUAAAUUAGCACCAAACUAACGUUGAAUCGACUUCGCUUUAUGUGCUGGGAUUAAGUUCUACUGGUAUAUCUAGUGCGUUCCUUCGAAUAGGGAGCUAUUCAAUGGUAUUUAGAAGUUCGAGUUUUGAACACUUAUUCGCAAAAAUCCAACUGAGUGACCAUUUCAUACGACACUCCCCACCAAACCAUUAUGGGGGCCGGAUGACGUCCUGGUUCUACUUUGUGAAUCUUUUCUCUAGUUUUCCGAAAACUGCGUGCAUAUAUCUUAUCAUUUUGACAGUUAAAGUUCUCCAUUGAAAAUUGUUUCAUCUGUGAAGAGAAUUGGUUGGUUACGGCCGUGCAUCUGUCAAUAGAAUAAUUGCUCCGCUCUCGUGCCUCUUAUUUGACGCAAGGUUUGUGUCUAGUACUUGUUUGGUAACCCCCAAGCUUAAGCUCAUCUUCUAAGAUGCGUGGCAUGGUUCUGGGUGUAAUUUUCAUCCCGCGAACCAUGUUUUUUUGUUUUCGAAUUGGAUUUCUGCGAAUUGUUUUGGCAAUUGCUGUGCUCUCACGUGGGUGGCCGCAUCUGCGUCCAUUUUUAACAGAAGAGAUCUCAUUAUACCUUUUAAAAUAUUGCCAAACGAAUUGCUUCGUUAUUUUUAUGCCGGCUCCAUUUGCUAGGAAAUGGUCUUUCAUUUGUCCGAGAAAUCGACACUCGACCGGAUCGGUUGUAAGCGCUUGUAAAUCUGCGAAAAACUAAGCCAAACAUUCUGUCGACAGGUUUAAAUUUGCGAUAGUUUGGCGAAAUUUGGCAGAAGCGGACACUUGUCAAAGAACAGACCGCAAGCAGCUAGCAGUUGGGUUGUCUACGUUUACAGAGCGGGAGGUACACAGAAAGCGAUGAAGAAGCGGCAAUGCAUUUGCCUGUAGUACACUUUCUAGGCAGCAUCCGAAAUCUUAUCUCGUGGUUGACAAAUACAUACAGCCCUCAACCAGAAGAUUGGGCUUUGGCAUGCAAAGUAGUUUCACUGGAGCGAGUAAAAUGGGCAUUUAACUCGUUCCAUAGGUACAAGUGUGCAGAUCCGGAUGGCAUUCUUUCUCGUCUAGUAACAGAAAAAUGGAUGCCCUGGGUCCACACGUUCGGAGUGUAUACCGUGCUUGCCUCGCACCCACUCAUACUCAAACGAGCUGGCGUGAUAUGAAGGCGAUAUUUAUUCCCAAACUAGGGAAAACCACCUACAUAAACGCAAAAAGCUUCCGACUCAUCAGUCUAGCUUCUUUUCUGCUAAAAGGACUGGAAACACUAGUAGAUCGGCUCAGAAGGGAUACAUAUAUCCCUAGGUGGUCAUUUCACUGUAGGGAACAAGCCUUCCAGAAGGGCAAAUCCACGUAGACAAAACUCCAUGAACUAACUGAAAAAAUUGCGAACACAAUGUUCGAUAAAGAAAACGCCUUAGGCGUAUUCAUGGACAUCGGAGGCACCUUCAAUUAGCCCUCAUUCGCGGCAAGACAGCAUGGAAUGGAUCCGCUGUUAAUCAGUUGGAUCCUUCACAUGCUAGAGUGGAAGAAGAUCCUUAUAUUGGUCGGACAGAAGUUUAUUGAGUCAGGAUGCCUUAGGGCUUACCCACAGGGAGGGGUUCUCUCUCCGCUGUUAUGGCUUCUAGUUAAGUACACCUUGCUAAGGGUCUUCGCACAACCAUUUGCGGACGAACUAGCCGCAAUAAUUAUCGGCAAGUUUUCGGGCACAGCAUGUGACCGCCUGAAUGCACAUGGACAGUUUGUGCCUCCAUAAUAGGUUAGAGAGACUGGACUAGUUGUGUUCAGUAAGAACGUCAAGUGGGGCAGUUACACACUACCCACUUUAGCAGGGGCGGAAAUCCAGCUGGUUCGAACAGUCAAAUAUUUAGGAGUACAUCUCGACUCCAAGUUAACGUGGAAGUACCAUUUCCAGAAACAAUACCAGACAUCUUGCACAUCGCUCUAAUGUAGGACUGCCAUAGGUAAGAUCUGGGGACUUUCACCAAAACGGAUUCACUGGAUGUAUGCAUCCAUAAUAAACCCCAUUUUGAUAUAUGCAUGCAUCGUCUGGUGGUCGAGACUUAUCUCUGCUAAUAGCAGGAAGCUGCUGACGCAGAUUUAGAGGCUCGGUAGCUUAAGUAUUACUGGAGCAAUGAGUACUACGCCGACCAUGGCCCCCGAAGCAAUUGUAAAUUUAGCCCCAAUACAUUUGGAGGUGAUAGUAUUGGCCCCUGGAAAGGUGGCCAAUCAUACGCUCAUGUGUUCAUCUGGAAAUUUCUUGGCAAACAUUAAGUGGCUCUGAUGACCGUCGAUCAUAUGGUUUCCAGAUUCGUCUUUGAAAACACAUAUUCCGUCGUAAUCACCAAAAGAGAAGAAUGGUCGAUAGAUGACCACGAGUCUUUUGGAAUUAUAGACUUAAUAAACUUCACUGACGGAUCAGUGAAGGAAAACGGAUCGGUCGCAAGGGUCUUCUCGGGAAAGUUCCGAUUAUGGAGCUGACCCGACUUCUCGGAAAAAUGAGGACCAUAUUUCAGGCGGAGAUAUAUACCAUUUUAUUGGCAGCUGCAGAAUGCUUGCGGGAAAAGUGGAUGGAUCAUUUUCGCAUAUCGGCGUGAAACCAGUAGCGUCGACGUCACUAACUUCCAUUUCUUCCAGUGUUUGUGCUUCCGGUAAGGUUGAAGGGGAAGGUUAUAAUAGGCCUACUAGAAGUAACUUUAAGAAUCUGUAAUCUGUAGAAAGCUUGAAAAAACUGCUCUACUCUAGACAGCCUUUACGGCAGAUUAUUUAGUUCUUUCAGGGAAUGCCAACAGCAUUGCUUUGGCAUUGUGGUCGCUGCUCUGACGAUAGUUGUUUGUGCUAGUGGAUCUUCAGAAUAGCUGUCUUAUAGAUCCCGUAACUUUGCUUAGGUCUCCAGGAAAACUUGCCACCUGCUCUACUGUCACUUUUUCAAUCAUUUUUGAAGAAGUAGCCGACCCUCGUAUUCGAGCGCUUCUUCAAUAUAACUACUGGAAGUAAUCUCUCCCACAGCCAGUUAAGCAUGACGUACAACACCGCAUCUGCGCUACUGGUUCCCAUAUCUUCUGGAAGGUGGGUCCAUUACCACCUGUUGCUGUUGCUAAGAAAGAAUUCGACACACUUUUAAGGCAGGGUAUUUGCAGGCCAUCGAUUAGCUGCUGGUCUUCUCCACUACACAUGGUCAAAAAGUUCAACGGCGCAUGGAUACCAUGUGGCGAUUAAAGACGUCUGAAUGCUCAAACUGCUAUCCUAUAGCAAUCAUCCACCACUUUGUGCAGUCAACUACUGCCGCGUUUUCACGAUCUUGGACUUAGCUAAGUCGUACCAUAAAAUAAAUCCCUGUAGCUCCAGAAGAUAUACCGAAAACGGCUUUACCCACACCCUCCGGACUCUUAGAGCUCACACGGAUGCCUUUUGGUCUGUGCAAUGCGGUGGAUGAUGGAUGAUGUUUUGGUAGCCUCUUCUUCAGAGUCAGAGCAUUUGGAACAUCUUGAAUCCAUUUUUCAAUGUCUCCUUGAGGCCGGUCUUGUGCUUAACGUUGAAAAGUGCAAACAGCAUGUGAAGUUUUUAGGUUACAUGAUUUCUCUUGAGAGAGUUCAACCGGAUCCAGACAAGGUUCAGGCCAUCAUAGACUUUCCUCAAUUUAAAAUGGUCAAGAAUCUGUUAAGGUUUUUGGGCUCAACAUCAGGCUGAUGAUCUGCAGAGGCAUUUGAGCUAGCCAAAGACAGCUGGCGGAUGCUACACUCCUGCCAUUUCCUCAAUCAGAUGCAUCCCUAAACAUUUUCGUCGAUGCCUCAGACAUUCUGCGCCAUUCUGCCAUGAAGGCUAACACCUCCAAGGAGGUGAAUGUCUCCACACACGUAUUGCUUUGUGUAGAUGUUUCCCGGAGGUCCUUGCAACCACCAUAAGAAAUGUUGAACAGGGGGAACACUUUUUCUGGCUUGACGUCGACGGCAGGCCAAAGAAUGUUUCCGUCUUCAGGCUGAAGCCGUUUGUUACCGAGGCUGAGGUCUCGGAGAAGAAAGGUGCGCAGCACGUGAGAUGAGAGAGAGACGUGAGAUGGUGGGCAAAAAGCCGGGUUUUAUCGCUGAAACCCAGUAUCAGUUGGGGUUGGGGUUGUGUAGAGCCGCUUAGCAGAGAUUCGUCCAAGCUCCACACCAGGUUAGCAAGACUUACCACGGCUGAAAGCUCACCCGCCUGAGUGUCUUGUCUACCCCUUGAUGGCAGGUUGACAGCUGCGAAGCCGGCGAAUCAAAUAAUAAGUUGGUGAUAAACCAAAGUAUGACCUAAGUUUGAUGCAUAUGCAAGCGAUAAAACUCUUGCUAUCUGAGGGGACGAAAAUUCGCCGCUUUAGCUAGAAUUUGGCCAAUAUGUGAUGCUGGAAUGAUAUUAUCUAUUCGUGUAGAGUCAAGGGAAAUACCAAUCUUAUUAUUAGAAAAUGUGUAUCACUCAAUCUAAAAUAUAAUAUUCAAAAGCUAUUUUAAGCAGGCACUUACAGCACACGUACAACCACUCAUCAUUCCUAUCACAUUCCUGAUAUUCGAUGCGCAUUAUUUAUGGUGAUGAUGCUUUUGCAAUUGACAUUCCUCUGACAUGUUAUCGAUACUAAAUUAUGCAUUUAUUUCAAUAUUUAUAGCAUUUUAUGUGUGGAGUGUAAAUUGAUCUGCUUUUUCUUUCUCCCCCGCCUGUCUCUGUCCUUCGUCUGAAAGGUGUGUCCGAUAAGGUAUGUAAACCUCUAAUUGUCGCUAGCGGAGACAUAAGGGCAUGAGAUCAAAGAUAGAAGUGAAUGGAGGUAAUUUAAAAUGCUUCACACAAUUUUCAUUGGCUUUUAUUGGAAAAUGCUGUCAUUUUACGAAUUGAAAGAAUAAAAUUUAUUUUUGUCGGAAAUGGUUUAUGACUAUAAAAAUCGUUUUCAUGUUGUAUGAAUAAUUGGAGACGAGCCAAUUUCCAUUGUUGGAGAUAGGUAAUGGAAGACGUGAAUAGAUACAAUAUGACACCAUUGGAUUUUAUUAAUAUUAAUAACAUACCUCCGGGGAAUGAAAUGAUUGGAGCCAUACAUACUGAGACAGAGUCAACAAUUAACUGGAAAAAUCGAGAUGUUAUUAUUCUAGUAUUACUUCUUACCUAAAUACACAAUUCUAAAUCAAAUCUAAUUAUAUUAUAUGAAACGAUAAUUAUUAUUAUUAUUAUUACUAUGACUAUUACUGAAAAAUAUGAAAUUAUAUAGAGAAAUUUGAAUAAAAAGAAUAAAACAACCAGUGUAUGAACUGUACAAGAUAUUCUAAAUAAUCUAAAACAAAAUGAAAUCAUAAUAUGAGUGUUACCAUUUAAAGGAAACCAAAAAGUAACAACAAAGUAAGUAAGGUAUGAUUAUAUACAUGCAAGCGAAUCGCACUUACUACUAAAUCUAAGAGUAAAAAUGAAAACAAUAGCAAUCAAUACCCUAAAAAGAGGAGAGCAAAAAAGUUUUUAAAUAAAAUGAAUUUUUCUUUGGUAAACCAUCAAGAAAUCCAUAAAUGACAAAAACAAAGACAACUCAUGAUUACCUUACUCCAAACCGAAAUCAAUGGAAAGCAACAAAAUAAAUUAUAUCAGAGAAUAGUUGUUUUUAUUUCUAGAGCAACAAUAAAAAAUUCGGAGAGUGAAAUCUUUCGAUGGAAACGUAACAUAGAUCAUAUACACACAUUCAAUUCUAAAUAGCCAAAUAACAAAGUAAAUAAAAAAUAAUUAAAGUGUUACUUGUUCAGCUCCUAAACUCCAUAGGAUCGAUCAUAAAUCGAUAGGCUAAAUAUCUGGUCAUCGAUAGUUUGCUAAGUUGAAAUAAAUUAAGAUAAAAAAAAAAUGUCAAGAUAAAGGAAAUAUUGUAACAAAUUUCAUUACUAGCCUGAACAAAUAAUUCGACAUAUUUUACAUUUCAAAUUGACGUAAGUAAGUAUAUAUAUUAAAAGAAAAAAGUGAAAGUAAAAAUUGUGUAAUAUAAAAAUAUCUAAACGCUUUAUCAAUAUUAUUAAAAAUUUACUGAAUUAAAAUCAAUAGAGAAAAAGAAAGAAAAAAAAUAAAUAAAAGAAAAGAGAAUUUUAUAAAAACAAUUUAAGAAACAAAACAUAUAACACAAAACAAUGAAUGAGGAAAAGAUCAGACAUACAUAAAAAGAUACAAUGAAGAUUCCUUACUUUCGACAUGUAGACUAAUAAAAAAACAAUGCUGCAACAACAAUUGAAUCCAAAUUAAGAGGGAUUACAUUAUUUUUUUUUGCCUCAAAUUGCCUGUUAAUCCACAAAAACCCUUUAUACAAGUUGUUCCCAUCGUUAAAAUUAAAUUAAUAUUCAAACUUUGUUGCACGAUUUCAAUUAAAAUUCUCGAGAUCAUGGGAAAAAUAUUGACACAAUAACAAAAUUAUAUUUGUAUGCAAAUGACAAUUUUUGGAAGAAUAUAAAUGCGAAUAAACAUGGAUUUGAUAGGUAUGAAAUAAUAUAAAUUAAAAGCCUUAAUUUCAAUUUAAGGUUGCUUUGUUUUCUUCUCAUUGCAAAUCUGAAUUUUAUGUAAGGCUUUAUGAAAAUGAAAUUUCGAAUUUAUUGUGUAUGCGAAUAUAAUUUUCCCAAGAAUAAUUUUAAAUGUGAUAACACAUGUAACAAAAACAAAACAAAAAAAAAUCGAGGAUAGAAUUUUAAAAAUAAACUUUUAGCAAAAGUCAUAGAGUA